GACGAACGCUGGCGGCGUGCCUAAUACAUGCAAGUAGAACGCUGAAGGAGGAGCUUGCUUCUCUGGAUGAGUUGCGAACGGGUGAGUAACGCGUAGGUAACCUGCCUGGUAGCGGGGGGUAACUAUUGGAAACGAUAGCUAAUACCGCAUAAGAGUAGAUGUUGCAUGACAUUUGCUUAAAAGGUGCAAUUGCAUCACUACCAGAUGGACCUGCGUUGUAUUAGCUAGAUGGUGGGGUAACGGGUCAACAAGGCGACGAUACAUAGCCGACCUGAGAGGGGGGUCUGCCAAACUGGGAAUGGAGCACGGGCCAGAACCCUGCGGGAGGGAGCAGUAGGGGAUCUUUGGGAAAGGACGGAAGUCUGAACGAGGAACGCCGGGGGAAAGAAUGAGGGUGUCGGGUCGUGAAGCUGUGGUGUGAGAGAAGGACGAGUGGGAGAGUUAAAAGUGCACACUGUGACGGUAUCUUACCAGAAAGCGACGGCUAACUACGUG
rnacentral:rRNA from 1 species